GCACUGCUGAAGGGUCCCUCAAUAGGAUGAAACGGCCGUCCAGUGC
rfam:Schistosoma mattheei strain Denwood, Zambia genome assembly, scaffold: SMTD_scaffold0000201